rnacentral:misc_RNA from 1 species
AAGUCGUAACAAGGUUUCCGUAGGUGAACCUGCGGAAGGAUCAUUAGCGAAGUUCGGAAUGCAUGUUCGAUGUUGAUGCUGCCCAGCAAUGGGAUGUGCUCGCUCGGAUGUGUGUCCCUUCUCUAUCCACCCCAUUGUGAACCAAGUGUGUGAGCCGAAGAGAAAUCAGAUGCUCGCAUGCAAACCUUUAACAUACCCCAAUAAAGUAUCAGAAUGUACCUUGCGUUAACUCGCACAAAUAUAACUUUCAACAACGGAUCUCUUGGCUCUC